rnacentral:lncRNA from 1 species
AGUCAAAUCCCAAGAAGUUGCCUUCAAGUUCCAGUCCAUAAAAUCUGCCACUUAAGGGAGUUCCACAGAGUUAUCUUUCUAUUGCUCCACACCGCCCCGUCCCCAGUUAGUGAAAUUUCUCUUUCACUGUUCACCACCCUUGCAUAUAUACAGAGUUUUUUUAAGCCAAGGAAACAAAUCAAGCCACAGACAGAUACAAAAUUACACAGGGUUUAAUCAAGUAAACCUCAGCCACAAGUAAAGACCAGCAAUUUAAACCUGACAAGCAAAGAACAACAUAGUUGAAUGUAACUAAGCCCUUCUGUCAUAACCCCAUUUUACAUACCACAGAUAACAAUUUAAUCCUCGUAUUUGCGUUGGUAGCUUUAAAAAAACUGUCAGAUUUCAAGAAAACAAAAUUAUAAGCUUUAAUUUAUUAUGUAAAUCAGAAAAGUUCAGGAAAAAGGCAAGAAAUGAAACAAUGAGCAUCUCAAAAUGGUAUUCUCUGCUCAACCAAGUUAAAUAAAAAAAAAAGGGGGAUUUCCUUUUUGUUUAACGAGUGCAGCAAUACAGUUUGCAGAGAUAUGCUUCCAAGAAGAAUGGAAGCUUCAAAAAUGAAAGCUACCAAGUACUAACUACAAAUAAAUAAAUAGUACAAAAUCAGUAAAGAACGAAAGAGGUGGGAGAGUAUUACAGAGACACGUUCACUUGAAGAAGACCUGGUUUGAUCUUUCCACCCGCCCAUUCAAUUCAAUGACAAUGAUUCCACUUAGAACCAACAAAAGUGAUUGGACGUCAAAGGAAAAAAUAAAAAAGAUACAUCAAACUAUGAGAAACCACUG